GCGAGGUCGAAGGCCUCGGCGGAGAGCUUAGGGGAAGGGGCGUUAGCGGGCUGAGUAAGGUAGGCAGCGGCCAUGCGGGGCGGGGCCCGAGGCCGGGCCGUGCUGAGAGGAACUGGCGCCCAGCGCAGGCCUCAGGGACCCGCCUAGCUGCCCGCGGGCCGAUCGGCUGCCGAAGCACCCUUCCCGCCUGGCCACGCGCGUGGCCAUCUCGGCCGCGGCCCCAGACGUGUCGAGGAAGGCAGGGCCCCGGGAGAGAGAAAGAAGGGGAAGCCUUCACAGAGCAGAACGGCCGCGGCAGGGGUAGUUUGAUCUGCACGUUUACCAGGGAGCUUUAGCUCCCGCCAGAUGUGUCUCUUCCGGGCCCAGAGCCGGCCACUUCCUUGAGGGGCGAUUCUGGAGACUUUUGGAUGGUUCUGUGCAAGCGCUCCUGCCGUAGAAGUCCUUUAAAGUGACCUUUCCUAAUGAAUGGGAACCAACAGUGUUUGUAAUGAAGAACAUCAGACUCUGAGCUGUAACCUGAAUUCUUGUCCAAAAUUCAGCACACUGGCAACGAGCACAUCAAACAGAUUGCCACUUGUCCUGUCGGCGUCUUUGAGACACACUUGCCCAUCUAGGAAAGCACAGUGCAGGUAUCUGUGUUCUGCCACCGUGUGCCAGCCCGGACCAGCUCACAGACAGCCCCGCCUGUCUUACUUGGGCUGCUCGGCUUCACUCUCUCAGGGCCCCUGAACCUCCCUCAGCCCUCCGUGAUUGUUGGAAUGGUGAGCUUGUCGGCCACAGACUGCUACAUUGUGCAUGAGAUCUACAAUGGGGAGAAUGCCCAAGACCAGUUUGAGUACGAGCUGGAGCAGGCCCUGGAAGCCCAGUACAAGUACAUUGUGAUUGAGCCCACUCGCAUCGGCGACGAGACGGCCCGCUGGAUCACCGUGGGCAACUGCCUGCACAAGACGGCCGUGCUGGCGGGCACCGCCUGCCUCUUCACCCCGUUGGCGCUGCCCUUAGAUUAUUCCCACUACAUUUCCCUGCCCGCUGGUGUGCUGAGCCUGGCCUGCUGCACCCUCUAUGGGAUCUCCUGGCAGUUUGACCCUUGCUGCAAGUACCAAGUGGAGUACGACGCCUAUAAACUGUCGCGCCUGCCUCUGCACACACUCACCUCCUCCACCCCGGUGGUGCUGGUCCGGAAGGACGACCUGCACAGAAAGAGACUGCACAACACGAUAGCACUGGCCGCCCUGGUGUACUGUGUAAAGAAGAUUUACGAACUCUAUGCCGUAUGAUUUCAGUAGAACAGGGAGCGAAGCAAAACCACCCGGCCCACAAGAGACAACAGAGUAUUCAGAUCGCCACACUCUGUGAGGCAGCAGAGCCUGGGAAGGUGUUUGGCUUAAUAUUUGUUAUUUUUAAAAAAUAACAGAUCACGGGUGUACCCAGGGUUUUUCAGCUCAUUACACUAAGAUGUGGAUUUCCAUAACCCAAGAAGGGGGUCUGAGGCUGUGGAAGUCCGACUGGGCAGUGGAAUGCUGAUGGAGGCAGACGCUGCCGAGGGGGUGUGGACGUGCUUUGGGGGAGGUCUUUAAGUCUAUUGUUUAACUGUACCAUCCAGAGCCCACCAGAAGCUAUUGACCAUUAAAAUUAUGAGAAUUUCAA
rnacentral:sRNA from 1 species